GGGUAAAUAGCUUAGUUGGUUAUAGCAUCCGGCUCAUAUACGCCGCUUCGCGUCGUUUGCAUGAGAGGAAGUUAUUGACGUUUGCGCUUACGCGCAAGCGCAUCCGGAAGGUCUGUGGUUCGAAUCCACAUUUGCCCA
rnacentral:tRNA from 1 species